rnacentral:rRNA from 1 species
GACGAACGCUGGCGGCGUGCUUAACACAUGCAAGUCGAGCGGAGCGGCGAACGGGUGAGUAACGCGUGAGUAACUGCCCCCCUCUCUGGGCUAACAGUUGGAAACGGAUGCUAAUACCGGAUAGGUGGGGAUGACGCGGGUCCUAUCAUUUGGUGGGUGAGGUAUUGGCCUACCAAGGCGACGACGGGUAGCCGGUCUGAGAGGGCGACCGGCCACAUUGGGCGGGGAUAGGGCCCAAAGGCCUACGGGAGGCAGGAGUGGAGAAUAUUGCACAAUGGGGGACACCCUGAAGCAGCGUCGCCGCGUGGGGGAUGACGGCUUUCGAGUUGGAAACCGCGUUCGGCCAUGACGCGGUAGUGGCAGAAGAAGCACCGGCUAACUACGUGCCAGCAGCCGCGGUAAUUC